UGGGGAAUAUUGGACAAUGGGGGAAACCCUGAUCCAGCGAUGCCGCGUGUGUGAAGAAGGCCUGAGGGUUGUAAAGCACUUUAGUUGGGGAAGAGAUGUGUGAGUUUAAGAGACACAUACAGAGACAUGAACCAAAGAAUAAGCACCGGCUAACUCCGUGCCAGCAGCCGCGGUAAUACGGAGGGUGCAAGCGUUAAUCGGAAUAAUUGGGCGUAAAGAGCGCGUAGGUGGUUUGUUAAGUGCGUUGUGAAAGACUCGGGCUUAACCUGGGGGUGUCAACGCAAACUGACAAACUAGAGUACAGUAGAGGGUCGUGGAAUUUCCGGUGUAGCGGUGAAAUGCGUAGAGAUCGGAAGGAACACCAGUGGCGAAGGCGACGACCUGGGCUGAAACUGACACU
rnacentral:rRNA from 1 species